ensembl:lncRNA
AUAAUGUUCAUCUCCAGAGAUGAAUUGUUUCGCAUAUCCUGGAACAAGCUAGAAUAUCCCCAGGAUCACAGACAUUUAAAACUGCGAUUGCAAGAUACGUUAUUGAGAUGUACCAUAUUUGCAUAGUUUGCAUGUACAAUGAAAGCUUUGUGUUACUUUUCUUUAUGAGGCUGUUGCUAGCAAAUUGCUGGAUUACCCAGGAGACUUAGUGAGAUCAGAGAACAAGCCUGUAUAGAAAGGUUGUGCCUAAUACUAAAGAUACUCAGCACUAUGGGCUUUAAAAAGUAGCGUUAUCCAUCCAAAAGUAGCAGUAGGAGCCAUGGGAAGAUAGUAUGCUGCAGUCCAUCUGAACACACUGACGUCAGUGGGUGUUGCUCAUGCAAAGUAAAGGCCUGAGUAUUAUAUGAUAUAUAUUGACAGGUUUAUUGAGGUAAAACUGUAGUAUACCCUCAGUUUGUCUUUUAGAAUUUUUAAUUGUUUUUUUUUUUUUUUAGCAAACAUUAAAAAAUUGGGCAUUAUAUGAACUAUAUUUUGCUUUCUCUGUAUGGGAGAACUUUCAUUUCAUUUCGGUUCUCCAUAAUAACACAUUUUUAGGGCUCACCAGUUAAACCCCAGCAUUUUGUCGCUAUAAGAGGAAGAUAUGGAAAAAAGCAGGGAGCAGUUUAUUGCUUAAAAACCUGUAUUUUUCAAUGAACUUCAGUAAAGGGAAGGCUCAGAAAGAAUAACAGCUAAGUGACAGAAUAAAUAUUUAAGUUAACAUUCCAAAUGGUUGAUUAAAGUGGAUUUGAACCGUCUUCUACCACAUCUAGUAUUUUGUGGAUUUGUGUUUAGUGCCAAUUGAAUAGUUCUCUAAAGUUUGUCAUUUAAUUCUAUUUGCUUCACUUUUGUAGCUGUAAUGUGAAUAAAAUACUGACAUCUUGCCCUCUCCAAGUAUUGAAUACAGAGAAGAAGAUGCUUAUCCACACUGACCCACAACUUAUCAAGCUGGUAUAUGAAUUUCCCCAAAACCCUACUAAUUUGGAUAAGGAAUAUAUUUCUGCAGCUAUUGUUAGAACUGUAAAAGUGACCCAGAGUUCAGCUCAAAGUUUGCGCAAGCAGGAUUUCAGCUGUCGCUGGACACAGUGCUUGGGUUAUUAACAUCAUUAGAGUCCAGCAGGUAAGAGUUAGUGGUGAAAAUUUCUUCAACUUGAAGUUGUGAGUUUUUGCUUCUUUCAACUCUUUUGUUAAUGCAUAGAACUCCCUUUUUGCUUGUAACCAGAAAAAGCUACCAGAGAAAUAUGUUAUAAAUGUCAUAAAUGAUUCUUAUGCUGUGAGAAUGAGUUGUGUAUCAUGUCUGUGCUUCAUUUGGAGUGUACUGACCUUCCAAAAAUAGCUCAGCAGAGUGGUCUCAGCGCAGGGAUCCAGAAGGACUGAAUUUAAUCCUGGUUCUCUCACUGGUCUGCAGGGUGACCUUGGGCAAUCUUUGUGCCAUUUUCCUGCUUGCUAAAAUGAAAAUAAUAAUACUUACAGCCUUUGCAAAGCACUUUCAGAGAAGAGCACAUGAAUCGAUAACAUAUUCUUCUUAAGUAUGUGAAAUAGCAGAGGAAACUCUUCCCACUUGCAUUAGUGCUCUUUCAGCAUUUAGAAAUGCGAAAUUAUAAAGAUUACUGCAUGGAAGGAAGAUUAUGAGAAAUGUUCCUUUCAUCAAUGAGUUGCCAGUUGGAAUGUGAAGGAAAACAGUACUAAGGUGAUGUACCAUUUAGUGUAAUAAAGAAUAAAAUAUGUGUUUUCA